CAGUCGCCGCGGGAAUACGGAGGAUCCAAGCGUUAUCCGGAAUCAUUGGGUUUAAAGGGUCCGUAGGCGGUCUUGUAAGUCAGUGGUGAAAGCCCAUCGCUCAACGGUGGAACGGCCAUUGAUACUGCAGGACUUGAAUUAUUGGGAAGUAACUAGAAUAUGUAGUGUAGCGGUGAAAUGCUUAGAGAUUACAUGGAAUACCAAUUGCGAAGGCAGGUUACUACCAAUUGAUUGACGCUGAUGGACGAAAGCGUGGGUAGCGAACAGGAUUAGAGACCCCCGUAGUCCCUGUCUCUUAUAC
rnacentral:rRNA from 1 species